rnacentral:rRNA from 1 species
UACAGAGGGUGCAAGCGUUAAUCGGAAUUACUGGGCGUAAAGCGCUCGUAGGUGGUUAAUCAAGUUGACUGUGAAAGCCCUGGGCUUAACCUGGGAGAGCCAGCCAAAACUGAUUGACUAGAGUACAGUAGAGGGUAGUGGAAUUUCCGGUGUAGCGGUGAAAUGCGUAGAUAUCGGAAGGAACAUCAGUGGCGAAGGCGGCUACCUGGACUGAUACUGACACUGAGGAGCGAAAGCGUGGGGAGCGAACAGG